GCGCACUUAGCUCAAAUGGUAAGAGCAUCACUCUUGAAAGUUGAGGUUGUGGGUUUGACUCCCACAGUGCACA
rnacentral:tRNA from 1 species